UACGUAGGGGGCAAGCGUUGUCCGGAAUCAUUGGGCGUAAAGAGCGUGUAGGCGGCCAGAAAAGUCCGCUGUGAAAACUCGAGGCUCAACUUCGAGCUGUCGGUGGAAACUUUCUGGCUAGAGUCCGGAAGAGGAGAAUGGAAUUCCUGGUGUAGCGGUGAAAUGCGCAGAUAUCAGGAAGAACACCCGUGGCGAAGGCGGUUCUCUGGGACGGUACUGACGCUGAGACGCGAAGCGUGGGGAGCGAACAGG
rnacentral:rRNA from 1 species